AUAAUGCAGAGUGUGUGUAUAUAAUGCAGUGUGUUUGUGUAGUGUGCAUUAUAUAAACACACUACACAAACACACUGCAUUAUAUACACACACACUGCAUUA